UACGAAGGGGGCUAGCGUUGCUCGGAAUCACUGGGCGUAAAGCGCACGUAGGCGGAUCUUUAAGUCAGGGGUGAAAUCCUGGAGCUCAACUCCAGAACUGCCUUUGAUACUGAGGAUCUUGAGUCCGGGAGAGGUGAGUGGAACUCCGAGUGUAGAGGUGAAAUUCGUAGAUAUUCGGAAGAACACCAGUGGCGAAGGCGCUCACUGGCCCGGUACUGACGCUGAGGUGCGAAAGCCAGGGGAGCGGAACGGG
rnacentral:rRNA from 1 species